rnacentral:sRNA from 1 species
CGGGUAUGGCGGCCAGCCUCUGGAUGGGCGACCUGGAACCCUACAUGGAUGAGAACUUCAUCUCCAGAGCCUUUGCCACCAUGGGGGAGACCGUAAUGAGCGUCAAAAUUAUCCGAAACCGCCUCACUGGGAUCCCAGCUGGCUACUGCUUUGUAGAAUUCGCAGAUUUGGCCACAGCUGAGAAGUGUUUGCAUAAAAUUAAUGGGAAACCCCUUCCAGGAGCCACACCUGUAAGGACAUUUAGAUAAUGAUGAUGUUGCCAUUAUUAUUGUCGUUGCUUACUACCAUCUAUUGACUCCCUACUGUAUACUUAUUUUAUUUAAUCCUAUAACAACCCUUUACAGUAGGCAUUGUUAUCUUUGUAGGCCCAGGAAACUGAAGCUCAGGGAAUUGAAAUAACUUGCCCAAGGCAACACAGGUAGUAAAUGGCAGAGCCAGGAUUCAGACUGAAGAUUGGUUGCCUCCCAAAUCCAUGCCUUUCCAUUCUGCAUCGCUGCCUCCCAUAACCGAAGACUUGAAACUCUAGACCUCUUGCCUGAUUGGGAAACUAGAAUAGGCUGGCAGCAGCAAGGACACAUUUCAAGAGAGUUGCAUUCUGCUCUUCCCACAGUUACUUAGCUUACAGCUGCACCAGCUGGCACACCUGGGCUCAUAGAACCAUGGAGCUGGCAGUGCCCUUAGCGGUCAUCCGUGCAACCCCCUCAUUUUAUACAGGAGAAAAAGCUGAGGCUUAGAGAGGGGGAGAUGUUUUGGCCAAGGUAAUUUAUUUCAGUUUUUUUCAAAUAUUGUUCAACUCUUGAAGCACCUUUCUCUGUUUUAGUUUGUUUGUUUUUAAACUUCCAGGCGAAACGCUUUAAACUGAACUAUGCCACUUAUGGGAAACAACCAGAUAACAGCCCUGAGUAUUCCCUCUUUGUGGGGGACCUGACCCCGGAUGUGGAUGAUGGCAUGCUGUAUGAAUUCUUCGUCAAAGUCUACCCCUCCUGUCGGGGAGGCAAGGUGGUUUUGGACCAGACAGGCGUGUCUAAGGGUUAUGGUUUUGUGAAAUUCACAGAUGAACUGGAACAGAAGCGAGCCCUGACGGAGUGCCAGGGAGCAGUGGGACUGGGGUCUAAGCCUGUGCGGCUAAGCGUGGCAAUCCCUAAAGCGAGCCGUGUAAAGCCAGUGGAAUAUAGUCAGAUGUACAGUUAUAGCUACAACCAGUAUUAUCAGCAGUACCAGAACUACUAUGCUCAGUGGGGCUAUGACCAGAACACAGGCAGCUACAGCUACAGUUACCCCCAGUAUGGCUAUACCCAGAGCACCAUGCAGACAUAUGAAGAAGUUGGAGAUGAUGCAUUGGAAGACCCCAUGCCACAGCUGGAUGUGACUGAGGCCAACAAGGAGUUCAUGGAACAGAGUGAGGAGCUGUAUGACGCUCUGAUGGACUGUCACUGGCAGCCCCUGGACACAGUGUCUUCAGAGAUCCCUGCCAUGAUGUAGCCAGGCCCAAGGACAAGCCAGGCUGUACGAUGUGAGGGAGAUGAGAGACUCCUUUUUAAAAAUUGUGAAACCUUUUUGGAAAUAUGAUUUGUAAGAUUUUAAUGAUGACUGUUUCUGGAGAUCAUGAA